GACGAACGCUGGCGGCGUGCUUAACACAUGCAAGUCGAACGGAAAGGCCCUGCUUUUGUGGGGUGCUCGAGUGGCGAACGGGUGAGUAACACGUGAGUAACCUGCCCUUGACUUUGGGAUAACUUCAGGAAACUGGGGCUAAUACCGGAUAGGAGCUCCUGCUGCAUGGUGGGGGUUGGAAAGUUUCGGCGGUUGGGGAUGGACUCGCGGCUUAUCAGCUUGUUGGUGGGGUAGUGGCUUACCAAGGCUUUGACGGGCAGCCGGCCUGAGAGGGUGACCGGCCACAUUGGGACUGAGAUACGGCCCAGACUCCUACGGGAGGCAGCAGUGGGGAAUAUUGCACAAUGGGCGGAAGCCUGAUGCAGCAACGCCGCGUGCGGGAUGACGGCCUUCGGGUUGUAAACCGCUUUCGCCUGUGACGAAGCGUGAGUGACGGUAAUGGGUAGAGAAGCACCGGCUAACUACGUG
rnacentral:rRNA from 1 species